GCCUCGGUGGUGUGGUGUAGAGCACACGUCCCGUGAUAGGAUGCAAAGCGGGUUCGAUUCCCGUCUGAGGCC